UACAGAGGGUGCGAGCGUUGUUCGGAAUUACUGGGCGUAAAGCGCGCGCAGGCGGCCCUUUAAGUCCGUCGGUCAAAUGCCGGGGCUCAACCCCGUUGCAUGCCGAGGAUACUGGAGGGCUGGAGACACGUAGAGGCAAGCGGAAUUCCGGGUGUAGCGGUGGAAUGCGUAGAGAUCCGGAAGAACACCGGAGGCGAAGGCGGCUGCUGGGCGUGAUCUGACGCUGAGGCGCGAAAGCGUGGGGAUCAAACAGG
rnacentral:rRNA from 1 species